ACUCCAGGAGAUGGUGAUGGACAGGGAGGCCUGGCGUGCUGCAAUUCACGGGGUCGCAAAGAGUCAGACACAACUGAGCGACUGAACUGAACUGAACUGAAUUGUGUUUCUAUUUCUUUUUAUACUUCCACUUUCUUAAUGUCGCUACCAUAGUAUUAGGAGCAUAUGUAUACCUAUCUUUAUUCUUUGUUGUAAUCUAUACCUUUACAAUGAUAAAGUGACUUUUUUUUGUACUUUUUGGUGAAAAGUCUACAUUAUCUAACAGAAGGAUUACAAUCCAUGUGGUCUGUUUUCUUUGCUUUUUAAAUGCUAGUUCUGUUAUUAGGACCCCAUCAGUGGUUACCUUCAUACUUUUAUUUAAUACUCAUCUUUCUCCUCUUUAAAGCAGUAUCUUUUGCUUUCCUUAAUAAGUAACUUUUAUAUUAACUUUAUUCUCUUCCUUCCCCUCCUCUCCUUUAUUAACUAGUUUUAGCCAAUAUAGCAUUAUUUUAUUGUUCGUUAUGAUUUUACUUAAAUUUUUACUACUUGACUCUCAUCUUUGACUCUGUUACUGUAAAGUGUGCCAUCGGUAAGUUUAUUCUACUUUUUAUGAUUGUUCUGUUUUUCAUGUAUUUGUAUAUACUGUUAUUCCCAUGGGUUUUGAGCAUGUAACAGUUACACUCCAUUCUGUCACCUGUAUGUCCAUUUGUUUUCAUCUUAAAUCUACAGUUAUAUGUAUUGGUGCUAAUUGCAAGUCCUUUUGCUGAAAUUUUUCCUGUCAUCUCUUGGUUGCAGUUUGUCCUCAAGUUACUUCAGGAAGGGCUCAUAUGAGUAAGAACUGAGUUUUUUGCAUAUUGAAAACCAUUUGUCUAUAUAGCCUAUUCCUAAAGGGAACUGCUUGGUUAGACAUAAAAUAAUUGAAUCACACUUUUUUUUUAAAUUCUACUUUUUUAUUGAAGUAUAGUUGAUACAUAAAUUGUGCCAAUCUCUAUUGCACAGCAUAAUUACUCAGCUAUAGACGUAUAUACAUUCUUUUUUUUUAAUAUUCUUUUCCAUUAUGGCUUAUCUGAAUCAUACUUUCUUGAGUUUCUUAUAGAUACUUUCCCACUGUCUUCUGACAUUGAAUUUUCAGUAGAGAAUUAGGAUGUCAGCUGGUUUUCUUGUCCCUUAUAAGUACCUUCUUUUUUUUUCUGGUUGCUGAAAAUAUUUUUUACAAUUAUUUUGCUAGAUUUUUUCCCUCAAUGUUGACUGUUUUGAGUCCGUUUUAUUUAAAACAUGGGAUCCCCUUUGAGGAUGUAGGUUCAACUCUUUUAUCUUUUCUUUUUAAUCUGUCAUUUUAUUUUCUUUUUAAAAAAUUCUAUCCUGCUUGUUCUUUACUGUUUCUUUUAUGGUAUAAUUUUUACCAUUUGCUCAUUGUAGUUUUGUCUUCAUUUUUUUAAUUUAAAAAGUCUUUUUCUUCCAUUUCUUUCAUGAGUUCUGCAGUGCUUGUUUCAUUUUCUCCUCUUACCUGUUUGUCUUUCCCUGAGUUCUUAAAUUUCUGCUCUGAGAUCUUUCUUCAUAGCUGCAUUAAGAAAUUUCAGAUUCAUAUUGAAAAGUAGUGUUAUAGUUUUAUCUAUUUUGCAGUGGUAUAUUCUGUUGAGUUUUCUUUGUCCGGGAUGUUGUGCUGCUUUUUUACAUUUUUUAAAUGGUAUUUUUGUAUGGAUACUUGCCACUUUUGUUACUCGUAUUUGAAUGAGAUAAGUUUUCUCAAACCACCUGUUAGAAGAGACUGGAGUGGGAGAAGGAGGUGGGACAGGACAUUAUGAGCAAGGCUGUUUUCCAGGUUUCUCUGCUCAAGACCUAUAUUCUCUUCUGUUCUGAUGGAUUCUUUCUUCAGAAUAAAGCCACAUCUCCUUUGCCUGUCAGUAAUAUAUGUUUAAGGAUUUUCUGCUACUGAGGAAUUCAGCUCUUGCCUUUUAAAGUACGUGCUCAAAUGUUAACAGUUAGAGAAUCUGUGAAGGGUAUACGGUAGUUCAUUGUACUAUUCAUUUAACUUUUCUUCAAGUUUGAAAUUACAGAGGGACAAUGCAUGCCUUGGUUUUAAAAGGGAGUCCUAUCUGAGACCUGUCACUUCUAGUUCACCCUCAGGUGACUCUGAUGACACUUUCUACACUCCUUGCUCUACUUCCUUCUGAGAUUCCCCCAUUCAGUUUCAGUACUAAACAUUGCAGUUCCCAUGUAGGAUAAGACCCUCUCUUUCUGGAGUAAAAAUUUGCUGCUGUUGCCCCACUAGACUUUCUUUCAUCUUUCAUGACUUUCCCCUUUGCAGAGGUUCCCAAGUAUUUGGGGCCAUAUUUACAAUUUGGCACUUUCAGGUUUUAAUUGUCUCCUGGGUUCAUUGAAGAUACAGGGUUUCUUCUCUUUUCUUUUCUCUCUCUCUCUUUUCAGAUUAUCUUUGUUGCUCUGUACUGAGUUCUAGGGGGAAAGUGGGAAAUUUUGGAAAUAAACUGCUGCUAUUUUCCUAUUGGAACUUACAAACUUCUGCUUUGGAUAUUACAGAAAUUUCUAAAUAACUCAUUGGUCGAAGAAAAUUUUAAAUAUUUUAAACUAAAGGGUAAUGAAAAUAGUACAUACCAGAAUUGGUAUGAUUAGCUAAAGCAAUUCUUAGAAUUUAAAACCUUAAAUGCCUAUUAGAAAGGGAGAAAAGCAACAAUGACCUAUAUAUUCAUCUUAAUAAGUUAGAAAAAUAACAUAAUUAAAUGCAAAGAAAAAUAGAAGAAAAUAAGAGUUUAAAAAAAAUUAAUGAAAUAGAAAACAAAUUUACCUCUAUCCUGUACGUAGGAAGACUUCAAAAAUUUUAAAGAAGGAUAGUGACAUGAUCAUAUUUGUUUUCCAGAAAGAGACCUCUGGCAGCAGUGUGGAGAAUAGAUAGAGGAGAAAAAAACUAAUCUGAGAAGCCAGUUAGGAGGCUUUUUCAAUCACUAGUUCAGGGACACCUCAGCCCCAUUUUUAAGGCCUUUCAACUAACUGAAUGAGGUCCACCCACAUUAUCCAGGAUAAUCUCCUUUACUUAAAGUCAACUGAUCAUGGAAUUUAAUUAUAUCUGUAAAAUACCUUCACCACAAUAUCUAGAUUUGUGUUUGAUUGAAUGGCAACUAGUAGCCUAGCAAUAUUUAUAUAUUUAAAAUUUUAAAAAUAAACUCGUAUCUGGCCUAUAAAAUUCUAUGAUUAAAAAUAUAAUAAUAAUAAAAAAAUUUUUUGAUUAUUGAGUCUUUGAAACAACUUUCAUAUUCCCAAACCUUUAGUAACUGCAUUUAUUUUAUAAACUGUCUUUCAAGAAGAGCAUACUCACCAACAUACAUUCAGAAUACUGACUCAUUCAUAUCAUUAUGAAUGAUGAUUCUGAAUAUGGGAGGGAGAUCUGCUUUCACUGGUUAGUUGGCAGUUUAUACCAUGUAUAAAAAGAUCAAAUGUUAAUAUGUCUAACACUUGAGGAUUCUGUGGAACAUACAGAGAGUCAUCUAGUAUGUAGUUGGAAAUGCAGAUGUGAAAAUCUGUAGUGGAGUGAGUAAAGGUAAAAGUUUUGGGAGUCCUUAGUACAUAAAUGCAUAUUUGAAACUCUGAAAAUGGAAAAUUUCCUUUAGAAAUAAUAUUUAGAUUGAAAAAAGAAAUGAAAAGGAGAGCGCCAUGGAGAAUACUAGCAUUUAAGGAAGAAAGAAGAACCAGAGAGCAAUUAAUGAUUAUUGUAGGCAGUAUUAGAGCCAAGAAGUUGUGUCAAGGGAGGAAACAUAUUCAGAGAAUAGAUGAUUUCACAGUUAAGCAGUGGAGCUCUUCCAAUAAAAUCAACAGUAAGACAGGGAUGUCAGUACUAUGUUAUUUAGUCACUAUUGUGUUUGCUAACUUCUGUUCUUCUUACAGGUUUCAGUCUACAUGUUACUUCUUUGAAAAGCAGUAACUGACACCUUCUCCCCCCCAUCCAGCCAUCUCCCCCGCAUCCAACCAUCCCCCAAGAGUUACAUAUUUCUCUCAAGUAUUCUUUAUAGCACAGUAUACUUCCCCAGUAAUACCAUGUGUCACCUUGAAUGUGUUUAUUAUUCUUUGUCUCCUGUUAGAAUGAAAGCUCUGGGAAGCUAGGGACUGUAGGUAUAUAUAUAACCUCUGUGCCUGACACAACUUUUGGGCAUACUAAGCAAAGAAUGAAUAAAGAAAACUAAGAACAUGGAGGAGGAGUGUCUAAUUGAAUCUGGAAAGUUAGGAAAAUAUUUGUAGGAGUAAAUGAUGUCUCAGCUAGGCUUUUGUCAAUGUGAUGACAUCAGGAGUUUGGGUCAAAAAGAGGGUACACAGGAAUGAAAAAUUUCUGAGAGGUCUCUAAAGUAAAAAAAAUUUAUUGAAAGAUAUAAGCAAAAAUCUGAAUGAAUGAAAUACGUUAAGCUUAUUGAGAAGACUCUGUUUGAUAAGGUGUCAGUUCUCCAAAAAUUAAUCUGUAAAUGAAUUUUAAGUAAAAUCCCAAUAGGGCAUAUAGUGAAACUUGAAAAGUCAGUAUUAAAAUUUAUAUGGAAAAAUAAGUGACUGUGAAGAAUCAAUGUAAUUUAAUAUUAAGUUUGCAUUUUGGAUCACUGAGGAAAGAGUAAAAUAUUUAAUAAAUGGUAUUUAUACAGUUGUUAACUGUAAGAAAAAAAUAAUUAAACCCAUCUCAUAUCAUAUCCCAGAUUUAUUUCUAGGUAGGUUAUAAUCUAAAAUUUGAAAAGCAAAGCUAUAAAAUUCUUUCAAGAAAAUACUGAUAAGCUUGGCUGCACAAAAUUUAAAACUUAUUUGUUACAGAUGAAUCAUAAACAAAGUUAAAAUGCUAAGACAGUAUUUACAGCAUAUAUAACCAAAAACUUUACAGGGAGAUCAGUUUAAAAAAAAAAAUAGCUAAUUUACAAAAGAGGAAACACAAAUGGUCAAUAAACCCAUGAAAAUAAAAUUCUCAAAUUCAUUAUUAGUCAGGAAAAUGCAAGUGAGAUCAGUACCAUUUGACACCUAUCAGAUUUAUAAAAUUUUAACAGAUGUUGGUGAGGAUAAAGUGUAAGGGAAUAUCUUGUGCACUGUUUAUAGGAGUAUGAUUUGAUACAACUUUGGAGAGCAGUUUUCAAUAUCUAGAAAAGAUGAAGUGAAAAUGAAAUUGAACAUAUCUUAAAACCCUUAAUAUACCAUAGAGGUGUCUUGCAUACUGAGAUAUUUUUUGCUGUAGCAGAAAAUUAGAAACAUCCUGAUUCCUGUGAAUAAUAGAAUAAGCAAAUAUUGGAAUGAGUACAUGAAUACUGUCAUAUUGUGGUAUAUACUAUUAUAUGUAAGUUAAAUGAAUGAACCAAAUAUACAUAUAUCAACAUGGAUUUUUCUUAAAGUUCUCUCUUAUCUUAAUGAAAUGAAAUAAAGCCUAAAAUUU